CGAUGAAUUUUCUGAACCAUCGAACUCACUCUUUUCCGAUCUGAACUCUCUUGCCGUGGCUUGCAUCAUAUCUUCCUGGUUUUUGCCUUCCUCUCAGAUUUCCUGUGUUAUCUUUCCAUCCCAAUCACCAAUUUUUUGGAUACUGUCGAUGCCUUCCGCUUUCUUCAUGAAUUAUCCGUGGGUGAAUGACUCAUUGAUUAAGGUGCCAUAACUAAUCUCAUUUAGAUGACUUUAAUUCUUGUUAGAUGAGCUCAGUUGUGGCGCCUAAUCAAUGAGCAAUUUAAACCACGAGCUCGAGAAUUUCGAUCAAUUCCAAACCCUACUCCCUAAUCCCGAUUGAUACCAGGAUGGGUUCGAUUCGUCCGAUCGCGUGCUCUUUAGAUCGAGUGCUAGGAAACAUUAGCCUACUGCUAUCUACAAAAAUUAGGUGCGAGCAUGUUGAUCAUUGAUACUGCCUGCCAGUUGGGGCAGAGUCUAUUGACCAAUGUGCCAUAACUAACUUCAUUUUAAUGACUUUAGUCCCAGUUAAAUGAAGUUAGUUAUGGCCAUUGAUCAGUAGGUAAUUGAAAACAAGAGAUCAAGAAUUGCUUCUAAUCUGCUUCGUAAGAUGUUGAGGUGGGUAAUCAAGCGAUGAGAUGAAGGGAGACGGAGACGCGAGUGUUUGUCUACGAGAUUCAUGGUAGGCGUUGGUCUCUUCACAAGGUUCCUUACAAUUAUGGAGAAUCCGGCAUGUCAACUGAGGAACCUAAGCGAAGUUUAAAUCUAGAAAUUCAUCUUAUUUUGUAGAACUCGGACCAUGUACUUUUUUUUUACUUGGGAUUUUUCGGGAUCUUUGAUAGAACGAACGUGACUGGUUACCUGAUUUUGUAACAUUUGAACCAUAGAUAUAACGAAGCUUCUGAUUUAGAGGCAUGAAGAUUAAUUGCAUUAGUAUGAGCACAAAAGCUUGGGUCUUUUUGUAUUGUAUCAACCAUGCAAGACGACAUGGGCUGAAUUUUGUUGAAGUUUUGAUUUUACUGAAUUUUUAUUUGGUUUGAAUCUGGCCCGUUCACAAUGCAUCUCUUGAUGUUUUUAUUCGGACACAACUUAUCAUCUGUUGAUGUGUUGUGACAUGAUCGCACGUCUUGCAUACCUUAGCAUUGUAUUUAUACUCUGGAUUAAUAGAAGUGAUUUUUAUGCUAAC